CCUUAGUUUCUAUAUAGAGUUUGAUCUUUUUGAUGGAGAAUCAAUAUGAAUUGAUGGUUCCAGGAAUCGGACUGCUGUGGUGCAUCAUCUACCGUAGAUUAAGGAUAGCGUUCAAAAAGUUAUAUUUUUUCCUUAAAGAUGUUAUAGGAUUUUGUUGUCAUAAGGGAUUAUUGGCCAAACUUUUUUGGGAUGGUUUAGAAGUAAAUAAUAUAAUUUAGUCCAUCGAACAGUUGA
rnacentral:lncRNA from 1 species